CAAUCAGUCUGAGACUGCAGAUGCUGAAACCUCUCUGCAUCUCUAACUGCUUCCCUCUGCAUAAAAUUCAACAAAGGGUCUCUCCUUCGUCUCUUUGGUGUGGGUGUUCUGGGGCUGUUAUCAGAGGAAGCAGAUGGAGAGGCUGGGGAGAGAGCAGUAGCUGUCACUGGCUGGUUGACAAAAGCUGAUCUUGAUGGCUGUGAGUGUAUUGGGGAUUAGAUUGGAUCUUGUAUGUAAGAGGAUGUGUAACCCAGACAUAAAUUCAUUUGCAGUCCAAGGAAAAAAAUCAUUGUACUAUAUUUACCUAUGUAGUGAAUAUAAAGAAAGGCAGAGAAAAAAUUUAAUUGAAACAAAAUAUUAUUCUUUAAAUUACUACAGUAAAAUUCAUCCAAUUUAAGUUGGAAUUUGCACUGCAGGUGUAAAUUGUCCAAUUGAGUGCGUUCAGCUGUGAUGCUGACUCCGCCCACUGGAGGCGCAGACGAGAUUGAUAGAGAAUUGAUCAAGCUUGAGAAUUUUAACUGAAAAAUCAAGUUAUUUUAGAUAAAAUGACUAGAGAGUUUUUGCACUAGGAGUAAAUAAAGUAGAUGAGUUAUUUAGAGCUAAAAUAUUGAUCAAUUGUGGAGUUUGUGAAGAAGCUUACCUGUUUAUGGCCUUGUUCAUCUGGAGCAUCGUGCUGAAGUUAAGGAAGUCAUCAAUGCAGUUCAUGGUGUAAAAGAUUUUAAAAACACUUUUAAUUCAGAGGAAUCGGCCAGUUUUGUUGUAUGCAUUGAGAUUUGGAUUUUCUGCUGAGUUGUGUGCCUGGUGUAGAUCAAUCAUCAAGCCACGUUGAGGGAAAAGAAAAAUGGCGAGCCACCCAUAGACUGAGUCUGAACCUUCAACUUUUCCUCUUCUCAUCAAUUUGUCUUUUCUGCUGACAGAUUCUUUUCCUUUUAAACUCUGAGGGACAGAGGUAUUUUUUCCCCUGAACUCAAAUUGAUUCUUUGAAUGGACUUAGGUAAUUUUCUGAACUCAAUUUGAUUCUUUGAAUCGGGUAAUUAACAUUUAUUGUAGUGUUGUCAAACGAUCAAUCACGAUUAAUCGCAUUCAAAAUAAAAGUUUUUGUUUAUAUAUUAUAUGUGUGUGUACUGUGUAUAUUUAUGCAUAUAUAAAUACACAAACACACAUGUAUAUAUUUUACAAAUAUUUACAUAUGUGUG
ensembl:lncRNA